GGCUAGGGGGCCAUCCCGGCUUACCAACCCGAUGCAAACUGCGAAUACCGGAGAAUGUUAUCACGGGAGACACACGGCGGGUGCUAACGUCCGUCGUGAAGAGGGAAACAACCCAGACCGCCAGCUAAGGUCCCAAAGUCAUGGUUAAGUGGGAAACGAUGUGGGAAGGCCCAGACAGCCAGGAUGUUGGCUUAGAAGCAGCCAUCAUUUAAAGAAAGCGUAAUAGCUCACUGGUCGAGUCGGCCUGCGCGGAAGAUGUAACGGGGCUAAACCAU
rnacentral:rRNA from 4 species